rnacentral:rRNA from 1 species
AUACGUAGGGGGCGAGCGUUGUCCGGAAUGAUUGGGCGUAAAGGGCGCGUAGGCGGCCCGGUAAGUCUGGAGUGAAAGUCCUGUUUUUAAGAUGGGAAUUGCUUUGGAUACUGUCGGGCUUGAGUGCAGGAGAGGUAAGUGGAAUUCCCAGUGUAGCGGUGAAAUGCGUAGAGAUUGGGAGGAACACCAGUGGCGAAGGCGACUUACUGGACUGUAACUGACGCUGAGGCGCGAAAGUGUGGGGAGCAAACAGGAUUAGAUACCCUGGUAGUCCACACUGUAAACGAUGAGUGCUAGGUGUAGGGGGUAUCGACCCCUUCUGUGCCGCAGUCAACACAAUAAGCAUUCCGCCUGGGGAGUACGGCCGCAAGGUUGAAACUCAAAUGAAUUGGCGGGG